UGGGGAAUUUUGGACAAUGGGCGAAAGCCUGAUCCAGCCAUGCCGCGUGAGUGAAGAAGGCCUUCGGGUUGUAAAGCUCUUUUAGUCGGAAAGAAAGAGUCGCAAUGAAUAAUUGUGAUUUAUGACGGUACCGACAGAAAAAGCACCGGCUAACUACGUGCCAGCAGCCGCGGUAAUACGUAGGGUGCGAGCGUUAAUCGGAAUUACUGGGCGUAAAGGGUGCGCAGGCGGUUUUGCAAGUCAGAUGUGAAAGCCCCGGGCUUAACCUGGGAAUUGCGUUUGAAACUACAAGGCUAGAGUGCAGCAGAGGGGAGUGGAAUUCCAUGUGUAGCAGUGAAAUGCGUAGAGAUGUGGAAGAACACCGAUGGCGAAGGCAGCUCCCUGGGUUGACACUGACGCUGAGGCACGAAAGCGUGGGGAGCAAACA
rnacentral:rRNA from 1 species